GUAAUUGCAAUAUUUUUUCCAGGCACAAGACAGGUAAACGUGAAUUGAACAUCUUGAAGACGUUGAAUGAUGCAGAUCCUGAUGACAAAUACCAUUGCCUUCGUUUAUAUCGGCAUUUUUUCCACAAGAAUCAUUUAUGCAUGGUGUUUGAACCUUUGUCAAUGUCAUUAAGAGAAGUUUUGAAGAAGUAUGGAAAAGAUGUAGGUCUUCAUGUGAAGGCUGUCAGAUCUUACACCCACCAACUCUUUUGUGCUCUUAAAACUUCUGCGGAAGUGUAACAUUCUUCAUGCUGAUGUCAAGCCUGAUAACAUUUUGGUAAAUGAAAAGAAGCUUGUUUUGAAGUUGUGUGAUUUUUGGAUCUGCAUCAAAGGUGACAGAAAAUGAAAUCACACCAUAUCUUGUUGCCAGGUUCUACAGAGCU